UGUCUAGGGGUUCAAACCUGAAGAAGCUAAAUAUCUAAACGGAGAGAUUCAAUAUUGCUAGCUCUUAAAAAGCAGCAAUGUGCACUUCUCUCUUAGUAAGACGCUGUGAUCCAUUAGAAAUUGGAUUGUAACAACAAUCAUUUGGCUAUCAAUAGGUCAAUGUGAAGUUCAUUGAUACAAAUAAUUUGAUCAUUUUAAGGUUGAAUAUAUUGUUUAGUGAGCACAUUGUAAUCUGAUAAUAGCUGUCUGAUGGAUUUUAAAGGUCAUAUUAUUAAUGUAUUUAUACAUUACUCAUUUAUGAGAUUAAAUAUGUACCCGAUCAACAGCGGUUAAAUUUAGCAUACCUUCUGGACCCGUCUUGAAACACGGACCAAGGAGUCUAUCUAGUAUGCAAGUAAAUGAGUAUAUGAAACUUAUUUGCAUAAAAAACUUGACUGUUAUGGGACUACGAGUUAUAUUGUCUUUUCAAUAUAAUUCCUCCAUCCCGGGGUAUUUUUAUCAACAUAUACGUAUGUAUAUGAAAAAUAUACCAUGAGCAUACUGGAUAUGACCCGAAAGAUGGUGAACUAUGCCUGAUCAGGUUGAAGUCAGGGGAAACCCUGAUGGAGGACCGAAGCAAUUCUGACGUGCAAAUCGAUUGUCAGAAUUGGGCAUAGGGGCGAAAGACCAAUCGAACCAUC
rnacentral:rRNA from 1 species